CAGUUUCGUUUUACCCUGGUUC
rnacentral:siRNA from 1 species